rnacentral:rRNA from 1 species
GGGUUGUGAGGUUAAGCGACUAAGCGUACACGGUGGAUGCCCUGGCAGUCAGAGGCGAUGAAGGACGUGCUAAUCUGCGAUAAGCGUCGGUAAGGUGAUAUGAACCGUUAUAACCGGCGAUUUCCGAAUGGGGAAACCCAGUGUGAUUCGUCACACUAUCAUUAACUGAAUCCAUAGGUUAAUGAGGCGAACCGGGGGAACUGAAACAUCUAAGUACCCCGAGGAAAAGAAAUCAACCGAGAUUCCCCCAGUAGCGGCGAGCGAACGGGGAGCAGCCCAGAGCCUGAAUCAGUGUGUGUGUUAGUGGAAGCGUCUGGAAAGGCGCGCGAUACAGGGUGACAGCCCCGUACACAAAAAUGCACAUACUGUGAGCUCGAUGAGUAGGGCGGGACACGUGGUAUCCUGUCUGAAUAUGGGGGG